GUCCCUACUACCAAAAAUAAUACGCCCGAGAUACCCACAUUAGGGGUAUUCGCAAGGUUCAGCUCGACCGAAGUGCAAUGGAAGAGCCUCGUCUUGGAGGAACCGCCUUAUUGAUCACGGUACAGCACACGUCUGAACUCGCAGUCA